rnacentral:rRNA from 1 species
GAUGAACGCUGGCGGCGUGCCUAAUACAUGCAAGUCGAGCGAACAGACGAGGAGCUUGCUCCUCUGACGUUAGCGGCGGACGGGUGAGUAACACGUGGAUAACCUACCUAUAAGACUGGGAUAACUUCGGGAAACCGGAGCUAAUACCGGAUAAUAUAUUGAACCGCAUGGUUCAAUAGUGAAAGACGGUUUUGCUGUCACUUAAAGAUGGAUCCGCGCCGCAUUAGCUAGUUGGUAAGGUAACGGCUUACCAAGGCAACGAUGCGUAGCCGACCUGAGAGGGUGAUCGGCCACACUGGAACUGAGACACGGUCCAGACUCCUACGGGAGGCAGCAGUAGGGAAUCUUCCGCAAUGGGCGAAAGCUUGACGGAGCAACGCCGCGUGAGUGAUGAAGGUCUUCGGAUCGUAAAACUCUUUUAUUAGGGAAGAACAAAUGUGUAAGUAACUAUGCACGUCUUGACGGUACCUAAUCAGAAAGCCACGGCUAACUACGUG